UACGGAGGGUGCGAGCGUUGUCCGGAAUCACUGGGCGUAAAGGGCGCGUAGGCGGUGACUUAAGCGUGUGGUGAAAGCUCGGGGCUCAACCCCGAGUCGGCCGUGCGAACUGGGUCACUGGAGCAGAUCAGAGGCAGGCGGAAUUCCGGGUGUAGCGGUGGAAUGCGUAGAGAUCCGGAAGAACACCGGUGGCGAAGGCGGCCUGCUGGGAUAUUGCUGACGCUGAGGCGCGACAGCGUGGGGAGCAAACAGG
rnacentral:rRNA from 1 species